CUUAAAUAUACUUAUUUUUUAACAAGUACUUAGGUUUUACCAGAAGUGUAGUAAAAAUUUUUUGUUUGUGAUUCCUUACCUUUUGCAUAAUGGUUUAACUAAAACAUUUGAGUUUUCAUUUUCCCGAUUUAAGAAGAUCUAAGAUAGCUUGGUCUAACGGGGCUAUUUUUAGAAAUUUAAUGUUGCAUUAUUAAUCUAAAAAGAAAUCUUAGGGGCGAAACACCUACAAUUCUUAGGAUAUCUGGAUGCUUAGAAAAAGUAUUUAGUACUUUAGACAGUAAGGGAGUGUUGAGAUUUCCUUACCAGUAGAAUAUUUGAUUUGGUAGCAAUAUUUUGAUAUAAAAGUCUUUAGAAACAGUAAAAUAAACAUUUUUCACUAGUAUAAUCUAUUUCUUACUAAGCUUAAUAAUCAAACUUUUAGAUUUUUUUAAUAAUGUUAAGAUUAGUAAUUUUAAUAAAUCUGAGGAAGGAACUCGGCAAAUAAAACUUUCGACUGUUUACCAAAAACAUAGCCUAAAGUGUUUAUUAAUUUUAGGUGAAUCCUGCCCUAUGAAAAAUUUUAAAUGGCCGCAGUACCCUGACUGUGCUAAGGUAGCAUAAUCAAUUGGCCUUUAAUUGAGGUCUAGAAUGAAUGGAUCAAUACGGAAGUGAUCUGUCUCCUUCAGAGUCUGUUGAAGUUAUCUUUAAGGGUGAAAAAGCCUUUAGUACGAAAAUAGACGAGAAGACCCUAAGAGUUUUAAUUAUAAGUAAAGGCUUUUACUUUUUUUUUUUGCUGGGGCGGCAAAGAAACAAUUAACUUUCUUGCUUGUGUUUAUGAAGUCGACGCGAAAUUUUAUGAAGAACCAAUAAACUACCUUAGGGAUAACAGCAUAAUUAUUUUAAUGUUUGUGACCUCGAUGUUGGACUAGGAAAGCUUUAUGGCUAGCCGCCGAAAGUAUUAUGUUCUGUUCGAACACUUUAUCU
rnacentral:rRNA from 1 species